UGGGGAAUUGUUCGCAAUGGGCGCAAGCCUGACGACGCAACGCCGCGUGGAGGAUGAAGAUCUUCGGGUCGUAAACUCCUGUCGAGCGGGACGAAUGAUCCGCGACCUAAUACGUCGCGGGAAUGACGGUACCGCUAGAGGAAGCCCCGGCUAACUCCGUGCCAGCAGCCGCGGUAAUACGGGGGGGGCUAGCGUUGUUCGGAAUUACUGGGCGUAAAGGGCUCGUAGGCGGCCGACUCAGUCAGACGUGAAAUCCCUCGGCUUAACCGAGGAACUGCGUCUGAUACUAGUUGGCUUGAAUCCGGGAGAGGGAUGUGGAAUUCCAGGUGUAGCGGUGAAAUGCGUAGAUAUCUGGAGGAACACCGGUGGCGAAGGCGGCAUCCUGGACCGGUAUUGACGCUGAGGAGCGAAAGCCAGGGGAGCAAACGGG
rnacentral:rRNA from 1 species